rnacentral:rRNA from 1 species
UACGUAGGGGGCAAGCGUUGUCCGGAAUCAUUGGGCGUAAAGCGCGUGUAGGCGGCCCGGUAAGUCCGCUGUGAAAGUCGGGGGCUCAACCCUCGAAUGCCGGUGGAUACUGUCGGGCUAGAGUACGGAAGAGGCGAGUGGAAUUCCUGGUGUAGCGGUGAAAUGCGCAGAUAUCAGGAGGAACACCAAUUGCGAAGGCAGCUCGCUGGGACGUUACUGACGCUGAGACGCGAAAGCGUGGGGAGCAGACAGG